AUUGAACGCUGGCGGCAUGCCUAACACAUGCAAGUCGAACGGUAACAGGAAGACGCUUGCUUCUUUGCUGACGAGUGGCGGAUGGGUGAGUCAUGUCUGGGAAACCGCCUGAUGGAGGGGGAUAACUACUGGAAACGGUAGUUACUACCGCAUAACGUCGCAAGAACAAAGAGGGCGACCUUCGGGCCUCUUGCCAGCGGGUGUGCCCAGGUGGGAUUAGCUAGUGGGUGGGGUAACGGCCAACCCAGGCGACGAUCACUAGCUGGUCUGAGAGGACGACCAGCCACACUGGGACUGAGACACGGUCCAGACUCCUACGGGAGGCAGCAGUGGGGAAUAUUGGACAAUGGGCGAAAGCCUGAUGCAGCAAUGCCGCGUGUGUGAAGAAGGCCUUCGGGUUGUAAAGUACUUUCAGCCGGAAGGAAGGGAUUAAACCUAAUACGGUCGGUGAUUGACGGUACCGGAAGAAGAAGCACCGGCUAACUACGUG
rnacentral:rRNA from 1 species